rnacentral:misc_RNA from 1 species
GAUGAAGAACGCAGCGAAAUGCGAUAAGUAAUGUGAAUUGCAGAAUUCAGUGAAUCAUCGAAUCUUUGAACGCACAUUGCGCCCGCCAGCAUUCUGGCGGGCAUGCCUGUUCGAGCGUCAUUUCAACCCUCGAGCCCCCCCGGGGGCCUCGGUGUUGGGGGACGGCACACCAGCCGCCCCCGAAAUGCAGUGGCGACCCCGCCGCGGCCUCCCCUGCGUAGUAGCACACACCUCGCACCGGAGCGCGGAGGCGGUCACGCCGUAAAACGCCCAACUUUCUUAGAGUUGACCUCGGAUCAGGUAGGAAUACCCGCUGAACUUAAGCAUAUCAAUAAGCGGAGGA